AGAGUUUGAUCAUGGCUCAGGAUGAACGCUAGCGGCAGGCCUAACACAUGCAAGUCGAGGGGUAGGGGCUUUCGGGCCCUGAGACCGGCGCACGGGUGCGUAACGCGUAUGCAAUCUGCCUUACACUGGGGGAUAGCCCAGAGAAAUUUGGAUUAAUACCCCAUAGUAUUUUUUGUUGGCAUCAACAGAUUAUUAAAGUUUUUCGGUGUAAGAUGAGCAUGCGUCCCAUUAGCUAGUUGGUAUGGUAACGGCAUACCAAGGCAAUGAUGGGUAGGGGUCCUGAGAGGGAGAUCCCCCACACUGGUACUGAGACACGGACCAGACUCCUACGGGAGGCAGCAGUGAGGAAUAUUGGUCAAUGGGCGAGAGCCUGAACCAGCCAUGCCGCGUGCAGGAUGAAGCAUCUAUGGUGUGUAAACUGCUUUUGUACGGGAAGGAACCCCUCUACGUGUAGAGGCUUGACGGUACCGUAAGAAUAAGGAUCGGCUAACUCCGUGCCAGCAGCCGCGGUAAUACGGAGGAUCCAAGCGUUAUCCGGAAUCAUUGGGUUUAAAGGGUCCGUAGGCGGCUUUAUAAGUCAGUGGUGAAAUCUGGCGGCUCAACCGUCAAAUUGCCAUUGAUACUGUAGGGCUUGAAUGUUUGUGAAGUAACUAGAAUAUGUAGUGUAGCGGUGAAAUGCUUAGAUAUUACAUGGAAUACCCAUUGCGAAGGCAGGUUACUAACAAAUGAUUGACGCUGAUGGACGAAAGCGUGGGGAGCGAACAGGAUUAGAUACCCUGGUAGUCCACGCCGUAAACGAUGGAUACUAGCUGUUUGGCAGCAAUGCUGAGUGGCUAAGCGAAAGUGAUAAGUAUCCCGCCUGGGGGAGUACGGGCGCAAGCCUGAAACUCAAAUGAAUUGACGG
rnacentral:rRNA from 1 species